GAGUUUGAACCUGGCUCAGGAUGAACGCUGGCGGCGUGCCUAAUACAUGCAAGUCGAGCGAACCACUUCGGUGGUGAGCGGCGAACGGGUGAGUAACACGUAGGUGAUCUGCCCAUCAGACGGGGACAACGAUUGGAAACGAUCGCUAAUACCGGAUAGGACGAAAGUUUAAAGGUGCUUCUGGCACCGCUGAUGGAUGAGCCUGCGGCGCAUUAGCUAGUUGGUAGGGUAAAGGCCUACCAAGGCGACGAUGCGUAGCCGACCUGAGAGGGUGAACGGCCACACUGGGACUGAGACACGGCCCAGACUCCUACGGGAGGCAGCAGUAGGGAAUCUUCGGCAAUGGGCGAAAGCCUGACCGAGCAACGCCGCGUGAAUGAUGAAGGCCUUCGGGUUGUAAAAUUCUGUUAUAAGGGAAGAACGACUUUAGUAGGAAAUGGCUAGAGUGUGACGGUACCUUAUGAGAAAGCCACGGCUAACUACGUGCCAGCAGCCGCGGUAAUACGUAGGUGGCGAGCGUUAUCCGGAAUUAUUGGGCGUAAAGAGCGCGCAGGUGGUUGAUUAAGUCUGAUGUGAAAGCCCACGGCUUAACCGUGGAGGGUCAUUGGAAACUGGUCGACUUGAGUGCAGAAGAGGGAAGUGGAAUUCCAUGUGUAGCGGUGAAAUGCGUAGAGAUAUGGAGGA
rnacentral:rRNA from 1 species